GUGCUUGCUUUGGCAGCACAUAUACUAAAAUUGGAACAAUACAGAGAAGAUUAGCGUGGCCCCUGCGCAGAGGAACCUUUUCAAAAAUACUGCUGUAAAUAGAAAUUAAU
rnacentral:snRNA from 1 species